AGGGAUAUAGCUCAGUUGGUAAAGUGCUUGCCUCACAUGUAGAAGGCCCUGGGUUCAAUACCCAGCAUUACAA
rnacentral:tRNA from 1 species